UGAGGGAUCGUCUAACGGCAGGACGACGGGUUCUGGCCCCGUUAAUCCAGGUUCGAAUCCUGGUCUCUCAGCCA
rnacentral:tRNA from 2 species